ensembl:lncRNA
ACACUCAAUAUCCACAACAAUCUGCAUACUGAUGUGGAGAGAUGACAACUAACUCAGUGAAUAUGUUUACCAUAUCCUUCCCAAAACAAGAUGAAUUGAUUUUCAGAUAAUUCAAAAACAGAAAAAAAAAGUCAUGUAAAGAUUUGCCUUUGAAUUAUUUGGCUGCAUUACUAAAAUUUGAGUCCUAGAACUUUCAUGAAUUGUUUUAUUUUGCUUACAUAAUCCAAACAGCUGUAACUGCUGGUCAUUUUCUGUGUAUUAAGAAUGCCCUAAAGUGGUUUUGCCACUUUUGUAAAAGUAAGCUAGUGUGAAAAUUUAACAAAUCCAGUAUAAAACUAAUGAAGAUUAAGUCCAUAACACAUUCUUCACUCUUCCCUGACUCUUUCCGCUAUUUGUUCCCUACGUACAGUUUCUGUGUCAGCUUACAUUUAGCAUGUUUCUCAUUUAUUAUAAAAUAACUGGAGCACAUCACCACCAACACUCAUGUAGCUUCUUAAAUAAAUGAAGUAAAUGAGCAGGAACUGCUCUUCUAUAGCCAAACACGUAACUGCUAAAAAAACCUGUGAAAUUUGCAAGGACAAACAACUUGAAGGAAAAAUAGGGCUAUUCUUUUGUUUUGCGAGGUGGGGGAGAAAAAAGAAGAAGCUUUUGAUUUCCCUCUUUAAAAAAAAACAACCAAAACAGCAACUGUUUUCUCCCUCAUGUAAAACAUUCAGUAUUUGGGGAAUAAAAUAAUGAAAGAAACAACUUAAGAAAAACAUGGAAUCAACCAUGCUAGCGAUUGGUAAUGCAAUUACUUUCAAGGUAAAAGUGAUGGAAUGCUACUUCCAAUACUUUGAAAUAAAUGCUAAUUACACAAAGGAAAACAGAACAGGAAGAGUAUGUAAAUUACACUCAAUUGUAUCUUUCACCGCAAAGACAGAAAAAAGUUCCUCCCACUUAAAAUAUUCCGCUGUAAGCAAUUCCAGGUGUUACAAUUUCUAGCUAUUUUUUUCCUUUGGUUUUUACUGUACUUUUGCAAUUUUGUACUUAUCUUACCAUCUGUCACAAGAAAGAAUAGAUAUAGAACAGUGGCAAAAUCAUGUUAAAAAGACUGUCUUGGGAUAAAAAAGAGAAAAGUUAAUGGACAUGGAUUUACAAAUUAUUAAUGAUUUUUCUUGUCAUUUCUUGAAAAAUGAAAGCUAUGCACGCUGUCUGUUUCCCCAAACAGAUUGCAUUUUAUUCCUCUGCAGUUUGUCCGUCAGGCUUCACUCUGACAACAUAAUCCAAAACUAAUCCAGAGCAUUCAGUUUUCCUUGUUGGCUCUCAUGCACACUGCUUAGACAAAUCCUGCUACCUGUCAGCCCUCCUGUGUGUGCCAAACAGGCUGCCAGGUUAACCCCUAGGGAAGCUGAGAGACCUGCUGACUUAACCCCUGCUUCCCUUCAAAUAAUCCACUGUAAAUACAUAGGAUGUUAACAGGCUAACUGUUCUAAUCACGGCUGGAUCCCUCAAAAUCUGUUUCAUACACAACCCUUAAGAACUAGGGAUCUAAGCAUCACUGCUGGAAGAGGAAAGGAUUGCUUCCAAUAAUACAAGCACUAAAUAAGCAGAUGGAUAGAACACACUGAAAGGUUUUAAUCCCUUAAAGGAGUCUGAGAAAAUAUACACAUCACUUCAAUUGCCCACCUCAUUGCUUAUAAAUUUUCCUAAUUGCCAGGACAAGGUCACAAAUAAUUUAGUACAAUGAAAGAAAGUCUAGUUUAGAUGCAAUUCAGCAUUUUGUGGAGAUCCAUACUAAACAUAAGUCAAUAGCUAAAAGAAAUUCUAGAAAAGCAAUACACUUUACAAAUAGUUGCAUUUUAAAAUAACAAUCUAAAGACAUAGUUAUUUCCAAGCAGCACUUAAAACAAGUCAUUUUUAAUGCCUUAAGCCUGAAAUACAGAGAAAAAUAUGAGUUACAAAUCUUUUCAAAAUACUCACUCUGAACUCAAAAAAACCAAACCAAAAUAAACCAAAACCUUCUCCUCAUUGGAAUUCAGGGCACAUCAUUCUAUCUGCUGCUGAAGCAUCAACAAUCCACAGCAGAAAAUAACUUGCGUAAGCACGGCAUACCGAGGAACACUUAAAAGCCACACUAAGCUUAGCCACAUGAGAAAUGUAAUAAAACAUCGCACAGCUCAUUUAAAGUUUGGAAGGCAUGAUGUCCAGGUUAAUAUCUGAAGUGGGGGAAGGUAGAGUGAGCCAUGGGGAGGGCUUCUGAA